rfam:Gossypium raimondii Chr10_contig_592, whole genome shotgun sequence.
AGUCCAUGAUGUAGGCACUUUCUUAACAUCGCCUUGAAUAAUUCCUAUGCCUCGUAUAAUGAUUCUCCUUUAUAUUGUUUGAAGUUGGCGAUUUCUCAUCUCAACU